CACGUAGGGGGCAAGCGUUGUCCGGAUUUAUUGGGCGUAAAGAGCUCGUAGGCUGUUCGAUAAGUCGGGUGUGAAACCUCCAGGCUCAACCUGGAGACGCCACCCGAUACUGUCAUGACUAGAGUCCGGUAGGGGAGCGUGGAAUUCCUGGUGUAGCGGUGAAAUGCGCAGAUAUCAGGAGGAACACCAGCGGCGAAGGCGGCGCUCUGGGCCGGUACUGACGCUGAGGCGCGACAGCGUGGGGAGCAAACAGG
rnacentral:rRNA from 1 species